UAUGAGAGAACAAAAUAUCAUGCCCACUUCUUAUACAUUUUGCCACAUGUUGUGUGGUUAUUCUUCAAUGGACAUGCAUAGGGAGAUUACCAUGCUCUGGGGAGAAAUAAAGCGCAGACUUGAAUAUGGAGAGCUAGAUGUGGAUAUGGACUUGCUCGAUUGCUUGAUUCUGGAUUUACUUAGAGGCAUGUCUUCCUGAAGCUACACAGGAACCUGUAUAGGAAUUUGAACUCAUUGCAUGACAAAACCGAAGCUCAAAACAAAAGGAUUGAAGAUGUCCGAGCUUUCAGGUCAUGGGCAGGUAUUAGAUAAAUAGAGCUAGUGACCAUUUUGGUCCCUCAAGUUAUCAAAGGUUCGCUUUGGCCCAUAAUGUUUAUUUUGAUCCUUUGCAUUUGCAUGUUGGGCAAAGACAUCCAUUUGAUGACUUGUGGCGUCAGUUGGUUCUGUCGAACCGUUCAAAUCUGUUGCAGUUGCCAAAUAGACCGAAGCAUGGAGGGGGCUGGCUUGAGGUGAGAAGCAGGGGCACUGAGCUGGGAUCUAUUAUGGAUUAUGCCCAGAGGAGCUCUGAUGUCGUGGCAGAUUUUGGCAUUGCCAUGGCACGCUGGCUACAGUGCCAUUGCCCAUGGAUUCCCAUGAGCAGUUGUUCCAAGACCCAAAUUUAUUUACACGCAUGGUGAGCUUUACACUGGAUUUGUCAUAUUGUGACGAGUUUUUGAAUGCUUCCAUCUCAUGCAAUUUCUGGACAGAAUUUGAAUUCAUUGCCUGAGCAAGGGGCCAUCAAA